rnacentral:rRNA from 1 species
GACGAACGCUGGCGGCGUGCUUAACACAUGCAAGUCGAACGAAGAGCGAUGGAAGCUUGCUUCUAUCAAUCUUAGUGGCGAACGGGUGAGUAACGCGUAAUCAACCUGCCCUUCAGAGGGGAACAACAGUUGGAAACGACUGCUAAUACCGCAUACGAUCUAAUCUCGGCAUCGAGGAUAAAUGAAAGGUGGCCUCUACAUGUAAGCUAUCACUGAAGGAGGGGAUUGCGUCUGAUUAGCUAGUUGGAGGGGUAACGGCCCACCAAGGCGAUGAUCAGUAGCCGGUCUGAGAGGAUGAACGGCCACAUUGGGACUGAGACACGGCCCAGACUCCUACGGGAGGCAGCAGUGGGGAAUCUUCCGCAAUGGACGAAAGUCUGACGGAGCAACGCCGCGUGAGUGAUGACGGCCUUCGGGUUGUAAAGCUCUGUUAAUCGGGACGAAAGGCCUUCUUGCGAAUAGUGAGAAGGAUUGACGGUACCGGAAUAGAAAGCCACGGCUAACUACGUG